rnacentral:tRNA from 1 species
AGCAGAGGACUGAAAAUCCUCGUGUCACA